ensembl:snRNA U6 U6 spliceosomal RNA
GUGCUCGCUUCAGCAGUACAUAUAUAAAAUUGGAACGAUACAGAGAAGAUUAGCAUGGCCUCUGCGUAAGGAUGACACGCAAUUUCGUGAAGUGUUCCAUAUUUUU